GAGGGAGGGUGCGAGCGUUAAUCGGAAUUACUGGGCGUAAAGCGCAUGUAGGCGGCCGAACAAGUCAGGUGUGAAAUCCUCGGGCUUAACCUGGGAAGUGCACUUGAUACUGUCCGGCUAGAGUUUGGCAGAGGAAAGUAGAAUUCCCGGUGUAGCAGCGAAAUGCGUAGAUAUCGGGAGGAAUACCAGUGGCGAAGGCGGCUUUCUGGGCCAAUACUGACGCUGAGGUGCGACAGCGUGGGGAGCUAACAGG
rnacentral:rRNA from 1 species